CUUAGACCUCAAAUCAAAUAGGACUACCCGCUGAACUUAAGCAUAUCAAUAAGCGGAGGAAAAGAAACUAACAAGGAUUCCCCUAGUAAUGGCGAAUGAAGUGGGAAGAGCUCAACUUUGAAAUCUGGCAGCUUUGCUGUCCGAGUUGUAGUCUCGAGAAGUGUUUUCCGCUCUGGAAUGUGUAUGAGUCUGUUGGAACACAGCGUCAUAGAGGGUGAGAACCCCGUUCAAGACACACCUGCCAGUGCUCUGUGAUACACUUUCGAUGAGUCGAGUUGUUUGGGAAUGCAGCUCAAANNNNNNNNNNNNNNNNNNNNNNNNNNNNNNNNNNNNNNNNNNNNGAAACAAGUACCGUGAGGGAAAGAUGAAAAGCACUUUGGAAAGAGAGUUAAAAGUACGUGAAAUUGUUGAAAGGGAAACGCUUGAAGUCAGACGUGCGCGGUAUUCAUACCACUGCAGGCCAGCAUCGGUUUUGCGAGCCGGAUAAAGGUCAGAGGAAGGUGGCAGUUUCGGCUGUGUUAUAGCCUCUAACUGAAUACGGAAUGAAAGACCGAGGGACGCAGCGCGCCGCAAGGCAAAGGAUCCGUCCUUUUCGCGCUUAGGAUGCUGGUGAAAUGGCUUUAAACGACCCGUCUUGAAACACGGACCAAGGAGUCUACCAUGCUUGCGAGUGUUUGGGUGAUCAAACCCAUGCGCGUAAUGAAAGUGAACGGAGGUGGGAUCCUUUACCGGAGCACCAUCGACCGAUCCAGAUUUUUAAUGAAGGAUUUGAGUAAGAGCACGUAUGUUGGGACCCGAAAGAUGGUGAACUAUGCCUGAAUAGGGUGAAGCCAGAGGAAACUCUGGUGGAGGCUCGUAGCGGUUCUGACGUGCAAAUCGAUCGUCAAAUUUGGGUAUAGGGGCGAAAGACUAAUCGAACCAUCUAGUAGCUGGUUCCUGCCGAAGUUUCCCCUC
rnacentral:rRNA from 1 species